rnacentral:rRNA from 1 species
GAGUUUGAUCAUGGCUCAGAACGAACGCUGGCGGCAUGCCUAACACAUGCAAGUCGAACGGGAUCCUGGCUUCGGUCAGGUGAGAGUGGCGGACGGGUGAGUAACGCGUGGGAACCUGCCCAGUGGUGGGGGAUAACUGCGGGAAACUGCAGCUAAUACCGCAUGAGCCCGAGAGGGGAAAGAUUUAUCGCCAUUGGAGGGGCCCGCGUUCGAUUAGGUAGUUGGUGGGGUAAAGGCCUACCAAGCCGACGAUCGAUAGCUGGUCUGAGAGGAUGAUCAGCCACACUGGGACUGAGAUACGGCCCAGACUCCUACGGGAGGCAGCAGUGGGGAAUAUUGGACAAUGGGGGCAACCCUGAUCCAGCAAUGCCGCGUGAGUGAUGAAGGCCUUC